GACGGUAUAGCUCAGUGGUAGAGCGCAUGCUGCUUAGCGUGCACAAUGUCCUGGGUUCAAUCCCUAGUACCUCCA
rnacentral:tRNA from 1 species